GAUUGAACGCUGGCGGCAUGGCUAAAACAUGCAAGUCAACGAGCCCGCAAGGGCGAGUGGCGGAAGGGCGAGUACAAGUAUCGAACGUGCCCCGAGGCGGGGGAUAGCGGCGGGAAACCGCCGGUAAUACCCCAUGAUUCUCCACGGAGCAAAGCCGCAAGGCGCCUUGGGAGCGGCGAUACACCUAUCAGGUUGUUGGCGGGGUAACGGCCCACCAAGCCGAAGACGGGUAGCGGGUGUGAGAGCACGGCCCGCCGCAUCGGGACUGAGACACUGCCCGGACUCCUACGGGAGGCUGCAGUAACGAAUAUUCCGCAAUGCGCGAAAGCGUGACGGAGCAAUGCCGCGUGCAGGAUGAAGCGGUUUCGCCGUGUAAACUGCUGUCAGGGGGCAGAAACACUGAUCACCCCCAGAGGAAGAGCCGGCUAACCCUGUGCCAGCAGCCGCGGUAAGACAGGGGGCUCGAGCGUUAAUCGGAAUCACUGGGCUUAAAGGGUGCGUAGGCGGCCCGGAAAGUGUCCCGUGAAAUCCCCCGGCUCAACCGGGGAAUGGCGGGGCAAACUCCCGGGCUUGAGGGAGCUAGAGGCGGGUGGAACGAUAGGUGGAGCGGUGGAAUGUGUAGAUAUCUAUCGGAACGCCGAAGGUGAAGACAGCCCGCUGGGGCUCUCCUGACGCUCAGGCACGAAAGCGUGGGGAGCAAACCGGGAUUAGAUACCCGGGUAGUCCACGCCCUAAACGAUGCGCACUAGAUCGGAGCGGGUAUGACCCCGUUCUGGUCGCAGAGAAAUCGAUAAGUGCGCCGCCUGGGGAGUACGGUCGCAAGGCUAAAACUCAAAGGAAUUGACGGGGGCUCACACAAGCGGUGGAGCAUGUUGCUUAAUUCGAAGCAACGCGAAGAACCUUACCCGGGUUUGACAUGCACGGAUUAACCCGCCGAAAGGCGGGCCACGCCCGCAAGGGUGGAACGUGCACAGGUGCUGCAUGGCUGUCGUCAGCUCGUGCUGUGAAGUGUCGGGUUAAGUCCCUUAACGAGCGCAACCCUUGUCGCUAGUUGCUAACGCGUCAUGGCGAGGACUCUAGCGAGACUGCCGGUGUCAAACCGGAGGAAGGCGGGGAUGACGUCAAGUCCUCAUGGCCCUUACAUCCGGGGUUGCAAACGUGCUACAAUGGCGUGUACAGAGCGACGCGAGGCCGCGAGGCGGAGCAAAUCGCAAAAAACACGCCCCAGUUCGGAUUGCAGGCUGCAACCCGCCUGCAUGAAGCCGGAAUCGCUAGUAAUCGGAGAUCAGCUACGCUCCGGUGAAUACGUUCCUGAGCCUUGUACACACCGCCCGUCAAGUCAUGGGAGCCGGGAGCGCCCGAAGUCGCCACGCCACUGUGGUGCCCACGGCGAGCUCGGUGACUGGG
rnacentral:rRNA from 1 species